rnacentral:tRNA from 15 species
GGAGAGUUGGCCGAGCGGUUUAAGGCACCAUCUUGGAAAGGUGGCGUAGUGAAAGCUACCGUGAGUUCGAAUCUCAUGCUCUCCGCCA